rnacentral:rRNA from 1 species
AAUGAGUAGGGUCUUCUAGGCCCGACCUCCCAACCCUUUGUUUACUAGACCUCAGUUGCUUCGGCAGGCCCGUCUUAAUCUGACCGCCGGAGGACCGCCUAAUACGGGUGUUGCCUCUGGCCAGUGUCUGCCGAUAGCCUCAUCUCCUAACUCUGGAUCAAUCAUGAUUUACAAUGUCUAAGUGAUUUUAUUCAAUUAAAGCAAAAACUUUCAACAACGGAUCUCUUGGUUCUGGCAUCGAUGAAGAACGCAGCGAAAUGCGAUAAGUAAUGCGAAUUGCAGAAUUCCAGUGAGUCAUCGAAUCUUUGAACGCACAUUGCGCCCUUUGGUAUUCCGAAGGGCAUGCCUGUUCGAGCGUCAUUAUCACCCCCUCAAGCCCCUGCGCUUGGUGUUGGACGGUUUGGUGGAGCGAGUUCACACUUUCCACCCCUCCUAAAGACAAUGACGGCGGCCUGCGGAACCCCCGGUACACUGAGCUUCUUAACUGAGCACGUAUCGGAUGAAGGGUGCCCGGGACCCGGUCUUCUCCCUCACGGGAACACUUUUUUCUAAGGUUGACCUCGGAUCAGGUAGGAAUACGCGCUGAACUUAAGCAUAUCAAUAAGCGCAGGAAAAGAAACCAACAGGGAUUGCCUCAGUAACGGCGAGUGAAGCGGCAACAGCUCAAAUUUGAAAUCUGGCCCCUUGGGGUCCGAGUUGUAAUUUGUAGAGGAUGUUUCGGGUACCGCCUCGGUUUAAAUUUCUUGGAACAGAAUGUCAAAGAGGGUGAGAAUCCCGUCUUGGACCGGCGGUAGGGCCUAUGUGAAACUCCUUCGACGAGUCGAGUUGUUUGGGAAUGCAGCUCAAAAUGGGUGGUAAAUUUCAUCUAAAGCUAAAUAUUGGCCAGAGACCGAUAGCGCACAAGUAGAGUGAUCGAAAGAUGAAAAGCACUUUGAAAAGAGAGUUAAACAGUAUGUGAAAUUGUUGAAAGGGAAGCGCUUGCAACCAGACUUGAGCGCGGCGGUUCCCCCUUGCUUCUGCUUGGGUUACUCCGCCGUGUCCAGGCCAACAUCGGUUCUGGGGGUCGGUCAAAGGCUCUGGGAAUGUAUCUACCCACGGGUAGACUUAUAGACCAGGGUGUCAUGCGACCUCCCGGGACCGAAGAACGCGCUUCGGCUCGGAAGUUGGCCUAAUGUUUGUCACCAACC